GAUGAAGAACGCAGCGAAAUGCGAUACGUAGUGUGAAUUGCAGAAUUCAGUGAAUCAUCGAAUCUUUGAACGCACAUUGCGCCCAUUAGUAUUCUAGUGGGCAUGCCUGUUCGAGCGUCAUUAAGUCCACUUAAGCCCUGCUUAGUGUUGGGAGACUGCUCCAGCGGUGCUACCCUGUAGCUACCCUGCAGCUCCUCAAAGACAGCGGCGGAGUUGUGGUAUCCUCUGAGCUUAGUAACUUGUUCUAGCUUUCGAGUACACCACUUCCCCUGCCGUAAAACCCUUAAUUUUUAAUGGUUGACCUCGGAUCAGGUAGGAAUACCCGCUGAACUUAAGCAUAUCAAUAAGCGGAGGA
rnacentral:misc_RNA from 1 species